CUAUUUUUUUUUUAUUAUUUUAAAUCAUCUCAUUCUUGUUUACAUAGCAAUGUAAAGCAAAAAUCCAGAGAGAAGAGCAAGAGUUGAGGGAAUCAAAGAAGAGGAUGCAGAGUCAUUGUA
rnacentral:ribozyme from 13 species